GUUUUCGGAUCGUAAGCUCUGUUGUUAGGGAAGAACAAGUGCUAUAGUAACUGCUCGCACCUUGACGGUACCUAACCAAAAAGCCCCGGCUAACUACGUGCCAGCAGCCGCGGUAAUACGUAGGUGGCAAGCGUUGUCCGGAAUUAUUGGGCGUAAAGGGCUCGCAGGCGGUUUCUUAAGUCUGAUGUGAAAUCCCCCGGCUCAACCGGGGAGGGUCAUUGGAAACUGGGAAACUUGAGUGCAGAAGAGGAGAAUGGAAUUCCACGUGUAGCGGUGAAAUGCGUAGAGAUGUGGAGGAACACCAAUGGCGAAGGCGACUCUCUGGUCUGUAACUGACGCUCAUGAACGAAAGCGUGGGGAGCGAACAGGAUUAGAUACCCUGGUAGUCCACGCCCUAAACGAUGACUGCUGAUUGUUGGGGGGUUUCCGCCCCUUAAUGCUGCCUCUAACGCGAUAUUCACUCCCCGGGGGGAGUACGGUCGCGGGACUGACUCUCAGGAGAUUUGACGGACGCCCGCACACGCUGUGGAACAUGUGUUUUAUCUCUAAGCCACGCGAAAAACCUUACCCCGUCUUGACGUCCUCUGAUUACCCUAGAUAU
rnacentral:rRNA from 1 species